UGUAAGGACACCAGCCACACCGAUGAGAGGCCAUCUUCCUCCACUUUGACCUCAUCUUAACUAAUUACAUCUGCAACUGUCCUAUUUCCAAAUAAGGUCACGUUCUAGGGUAGCGGAGAGUAGGACUUCAACACAGCUUUUUUUGAGGGAAGACGCAAUUCAACCCACAGCUCCCCCAAAUGCGUUAUUCACUCUGUUCUGUGCCCUGUGGCAUGACCCUGUGGCCUGCCCUCUUUGCUGUGCUCUGGUGCUUUAGCCUCGGUUAGAAUUCCUGCAGGAGUUUCCCAGGAGACCAGAAGGUUUAACCAGUGUCUGAUGUAGUCGGUUCUC
rnacentral:lncRNA from 10 species